GAUGAACGCUGGCGGCGCGCCUAAUACAUGCAAGUCGAGCGAACGGACGAGAAGCUUGCUUCUCUGAUGUUAGCGGCGGACGGGUGAGUAACACGUGGAUAACCUACCUAUAAGACUGGGAUAACUUCGGGAAACCGGAGCUAAUACCGGAUAAUAUUUUGAACCGCAUGGUUCAAAAGUGAAAGACGGUCUUGCUGUCACUUAUAGAUGGAUCCGCGCUGCACUAGCUAGUUGGUAAGGUAACGGCUUACCAAGGCAACGAUGCAUAGCCGACCUGAGAGGGUGAUCGGCCACACUGGAACUGAGACACGGUCCAGACUCCUACGGGAGGCAGCAGUAGGGAAUCUUCCGCAAUGGGCGAAAGCCUGACGGAGCAACGCCGCGUGAGUGAUGAAGGUCUUCGGAUCGUAAAACUCUGUUAUUAGGGAAGAACAUAUGUGUAAGUAACUGUGCACAUCUUGACGGUACCUAAUCAGAAAGCCACGGCUAACUACGUG
rnacentral:rRNA from 1 species